GUAGUUGUGGCCGAGUGGUUAAGGUGAUGGACUAGAAAUCCAUUGGGUUCACCCUGCGCAGGUUCAAAUCCUGCCAACUACG